CACACACACACACACGCAUACCCGCCUGGCGCCUGUUCCUCACAAAACCUGCGUCUCACCAGACAACCACGUCACUCUCCUCCUCCCCGCCGUAGACUGUCAUCUUCUCCCCACCCUCGCUCGCCACCGCCCCCUUCCCCACUCCGGUUCAGCAAUGGCCAUCAUCCGCGACGCACUUAUCCGCGUGGCGGCUCUCGCCACCAUGCUAGCGCUGCUCUGUGUCGUGUCCACCGCCACCGCCGCCACCAUCUCCGACGGGAGCACGCAGUACUUCGUGAAGCUGUGGUCAGGCAAGUACCCGCUCAAAUACGUGUGGUCCGGCAAGGAUAUUUGCAAGUACGAGGGCAUCUCCUGCGACACGGUUAAGCAGACGGUGACGAUGCUGCUCCCCAAGAUCGGCCUCACGGGCACCAUCCCCGGCUACGGCUCCAAGGCGGGCUUCAAGCCUGCCAAUGUGCGUGUGAUCACCAUCAACCUCAUGGGGAACAACGAGCUCACCGGUGCCUUUCCGGAGCACUACGGACAACUGAGGCAGCUGCAGGAACUGUACUUGAUGAACACGUCGCUGCAGGGCACCAUCCCGCAGGCGUGGAACAACCUCGCCAACCUCGUGAUUCUGGACGUGUCAAACACGAAGGCGUGCGGCAACCUGCCGGCCUGGGACGCCAAGAGCAUGAAGUCGCUCCAGUACAUGCACUUCACAGGCAACAGCCUGAUGAAGGGCUCCAUCCCGGCGAGCCUUGCCACAUUUGGCGCCGUUUCCUUCGACACCACCGGCUGUAAGUUCUGUGGCUGCCUCCCCUCGGAGUUCUCGAGUAGCAUGUACAUGAUGAUGCAGCUGAUCAGCAGCCAGCCCCAGGUGAACACGCAGGACUGCAUGACGGCCAACACGUGCACGGUCCAGCACAUGAGCUGUAAAGCCAAGGCGAACGCCGCCGCGAUUGCCUGCAGCCGCGCGAGCGUCGCGGCAGUCGUGGCCGGCGUUCUCAUCGCGGUGGCGUCGCUCCUCGCGUAGGCAGUAAGAGGGAACCGGCAUGAGGAGAGGCAGAGAGAUGCGAAUGAAUACGAGGAAUCCAUUGUUUACGGAGAAGGAGGCGGUCAGUGCGCGUGGCUCGCGUACAUGUCUCUCUCUCUGUGUUUGUGUCGGGAGUGGGUGGGUGGGUGGGGAGGGGUGAGGGAUACGCACGGGCACACUGCCGCUGCCGCCAACAACCUCCGCCGCCAUCCGCCACCAUUCUCUGGCACGCAUGCCUCAUAUUGGGGUUCCGAUUGUCUAAUAGGUUUUUGUGUCUCCUCUUCCCACCUCAUUCUUGCUAUACUCCACCGCACCGCCACAUCAUCCAUGGUGGUGCGCUGGUGGCAGCUACCCAUGCUUCCUUCCUGUCAUCCCAUCCACCCACCACCCCUCACCCUAUCCCUUCCUCAUAUGCUUCACACCCCUCCCCGUGCCUGCAUGCCUGCCUCUCUUGUCGGUCGGUCUGCCGGGUGUGUCGAGUCGACAGCGCCCUCACCCCCCCUCCUCCGCACACACACACCGGCAUCGACCUCUCCCCCUUCGUCUGUUACCUUCUUGGGCAUGGAGAGAAAGAGAGACAACGACGAAGACGAGGACGGCGACGCACACACAACACACAUCGCUCGCGCGAGCACGGAGACGGGUGUAGUUGCGCCCUGCGCACCUCACGCGAUACACAAGCGACGAGAGAGGGCGGGAACCAGAUGGCGGGGGAGGCGCACGGCUUUGCUUUUAUGCCUUCCCGUGUGCCUUUGUAUGCGCGUAUGUGUACGUGUGUGUGUGUGUGUUCACGUGCAGGGGUAUCCAUGCGGACGUGUAUGCGUCCCUAAAGAAGAAGCGAGUGAGUGAGCGCGAGCUGACUCGUGGUCGGCAUCACUAUGCUUCAUCUCGCCCUACCUUGGCCAUCAUCCGCAUCAUCUCCAUGGUCACAUGCACGCCGUAAUGCACCUCGCUUCCGCAUUUCCUGUGUGGGUGUGGGUGUGGGUGUGGGUGUCACCUUUCCUAGUUUCUUUGCCUUGCCAUCCCCUCCUCCUAUAUACGUAUAUAUAUAUAUAUACCUGCAUGUCUCGCUCUCUCCCACGCACACGCACAUGCGACGCGGCAGGCAAGCAUCGCCCUCCGUCUACAGCGUGGACAAUGCGAAGUGGUGUGCGGCUGUAAUGCGUGCAUGUGGGCAGGAGGACAUGCCUCGUGUAUGUGCGUAGCCCCUCUUUGUUCUUUUCUGACUUGUUUCCUUGUUGCGCGUAUGUGCCUAUGAACGUGUGUAUUAUUCUGUGUUGCUGACUUGCUGCCCGUCGGCGCGCAUGCGUGUGUGCGCGCUGGGUGUGUGUACUGGGUGUACGCGGCUGUCUGUAGGUCUCUCUGUGUGUGUGUGUGCAUCUUAGCAGCGCUCGUGUUGCAUUUUGUAUACCGUGACGCGCCAUCCAUGAAUGGGCCUCCAUCAUCGCCUUCUAUCCCGCCUUCCUUCCAUUUCCACUUCCCCCUCCCCUCGGCCGCCUCACCGCCAUCUUCUUGUCUGUGCGUGCACACUACACACACGCGCAUACACACAUACAUGUAAAUAUAUAUAUAUACGCGUAUAUAUGUGCAUGCUCAUGUGUCCAAUGGUAGUGAUUUCCAUUGAUUUCG
rnacentral:misc_RNA from 1 species